UACCAGCACCCCGAGUGGUCGGGACGUUUAUUGGGCCUAAAGCAUCCGUAGCCGGUUCUACAAGUCUUCCGUUAAAUCCACCUGCUUAACCGAUGGGCUGCGGAGGAUACUAUAGAGCUAGGAGGCGGGAGAGGCAAGCGGUACUUAGUGGGUAGGGGUAAAAUCCGUUGAUCCAUUGAAGACCACCAGUGGCGAAGGCGGCUUGCCAGAACGCGCUCGACGGUGAGGGAUGAAAGCUGGGGGAGCAAACCGG
rnacentral:rRNA from 1 species